rnacentral:lncRNA from 1 species
AUGAGUCUGCUGUGUAUCCUGCUUCUCAUGAUGGAUCGCUCUCUCCCUUUUUGUUUCUAUCAGUUAGUAUUAGCAGACACUAGUCUGGACAGCACAACUUUAGAUAAUAAGUUUCAUAAAGACUUUUGUAUCUCAUUUGCUCCUAUGUCCUGCAUGUGGAAGUUGUUAAAUCACUACUUGCUGAACAAAGAAAUGAAUGAGGACUCUUUCCAGUGGACCCUGAGCACCAUUGUGGUCAUCUUUUUCGCAUCCUCCAAUGGCCACAGUCCUGGAUAUGAUGGUCUCCUGCAUCUUCUCAGGAGGCUCCUGGAGACUUCUGUGAGACCAUUGAGAGUCAGUCUGGCAAUGAGAAAGCAAGAGCCAAGGAACUCCGAAUGCCUAUGGAGGAGCACUUUCAAGGGCAUCCUUCACAGAAUUGGACAGGAGCCACAGUGGCAAAUCUAA